rnacentral:sRNA from 1 species
GCUGGGCAUGGUGACCCUUGCCUGUAAUCCUAGCAGCUCAGGAGGCUGAGGCAGGAGGAUUGUGAGUUCAGAGCCAGCCUUAG